UACAGAGGGUGCGAGCGUUAAUCGGAAUUACUGGGCGUAAAGGGCGCGUAGGCGGUUUAUCAAGUGAGAUGUGAAAUCCCCGGGCUUAACCUGGGAACUGCAUCUUAAACUGGUAAGCUGGAGUACUGUAGAGGACAGUGGAAUUUCCGGUGUAGCGGUGAAAUGCGUAGAGAUCGGAAGGAACAUCAGUGGCGAAGGCAAUCCCCUGGGCCUGCACUGACGCUCAUGCACGAAAGCGUGGGGAGCAAACAGG
rnacentral:rRNA from 1 species